rnacentral:rRNA from 1 species
CAAUAGCGUAUAUUUAAGUUGUUGCAGUUAAAAAGCUCGUAGUUGGAUUUCGGGUAGGAUUUGCCGGUCCGUCUUUGAGAUGUGUACUGGUAAGUCCUAUCUUCUUGUCGGGGACCAGCUCCUGGGCUUCACUGUCCGGGACUGGGAGCCGACGAAGUUACUUUGAGUAAAUUAGAGUGUUCAAAGCAAGCCUACGCUCUGAAUAUAUUAGCAUGGAAUAACACGAUAGGACUCUGGCUUAUCUUGUUGGUCUGUGAGACCAGAGUAAUGAUUAAGAGGGACAGUCGGGGACAUUCGUAUUUCAUUGUCGGAGGUGAAAUUCUUGGAUUUAUGAAAGACGAACUUCUGCGAAAGCAUUUGUCAAGGAUGUUUUCAUUAA